AAACGACUCUCGGCAACGGAUAUCUAGGCUCUCGCAUCGAUGAAGAACGUAGCGAAAUGCGAUACUUGGUGUGAAUUGCAGAAUCCCGUGAACCAUCGAGUCUUUGAACGCAAGUUGCGCCCCAAGCCUUCGGGCCGAGGGCACGUCUGCCUGGGUGUCACGC
rnacentral:rRNA from 1 species